rnacentral:pre_miRNA from 1 species
GUUGUACUCCCUCCGUACGGAAAUACUUGUCAGAGAAAUGGAUGUAUCUAGACAUAUUUAGUUUACAUACAUCCAUUUUUAUUCAUUUCUCUGACAAGUAUUUUCGGACGGAGGGAGUACAUG